GAUGAAGAACGUAGCGAAAUGCGAUAAGUAGUGUGAAUUGCAGAAUUCAGUGAAUCAUCGAAUCUUUGAACGCACAUUGCGCCCCUUGGUAUUCCAUGGGGCAUGCCUGUUCGAGCGUCAUUUGUACCUUCAAGCUCUGCUUGGUGUUGGGUGUUUGUCUCGCCUCUGCGUGUAGACUCGCCUCAAAACAAUUGGCAGCCGGCGUAUUGAUUUCGGAGCGCAGUACAUCUCGCGCUUUGCACUCAUAACGACGACGUCCAGAAGUACAUUUUUACACUCUUGACCUCGGAUCAGGUAGGGAUACCCGCUGAACUUAAGCAUAUCAAUAAGCGGAGGA
rnacentral:misc_RNA from 1 species